GACGUAGGGCGCGAGCGUUGUCCGGAUUUAUUGGGCGUAAAGAGCUCGUAGGCGGCUUGUUGCGUCGGCUGUGAAAAACCCGCGGCUUAACCGUGGGCUUGCAGCCGAUACGGGCGGGCUGGAGUUCGGUAGGGGGAGACUGGAAUUCCUGGUGUAGCGGUGAAAUGCGCAGAUAUCAGGAGGAACACCAAUGGCGAAGGCAGCUCGCUGGGGACGUGACUGACGCUGAGACGCGAAAAGCGUGGGGGAGCAAAACAGG
rnacentral:rRNA from 1 species